GAUUGAACGCUGGCGGCAGGCCUAACACAUGCAAGUCGAGCGGUAGAGAGGUGCUUGCACCUCUUGAGAGCGGCGGACGGGUGAGUAAAGCCUAGGAAUCUGCCUGGUAGUGGGGGAUAACGCUCGGAAACGGACGCUAAUACCGCAUACGUCCUACGGGAGAAAGCAGGGGACCUUCGGGCCUUGCGCUAUCAGAUGAG
rnacentral:rRNA from 1 species